rnacentral:rRNA from 1 species
GGGGGAUAUUGCGCAAUGGGGGCAACCCUGACGCAGCAACGCCGCGUGAAGGAUGAAGGUUUUCGGAUUGUAAACUUCUUUUAUUAAGGACGAAACUUGACGGUACUUAAUGAAUAAGCUCCGGCUAACUACGUGCCAGCAGCCGCGGUAAUACGUAGGGAGCAAGCGUUGUCCGGAUUUACUGGGUGUAAAGGGUGCGUAGGCGGCUUUGCAAGUCAGAUGUGAAAUCUAUGGGCUCAACCCAUAAACUGCAUUUGAAACUGUAGAGCUUGAGUGAAGUAGAGGCAGGCGGAAUUCCCCGUGUAGCGGUGAAAUGCGUAGAGAUGGGGAGGAACACCAGUGGCGAAGGCGGCCUGCUGGGCUUUAACUGACGCUGAGGCACGAAAGCGUGGGUAGCAAACAGGAUUAGAUACCCUGGUAGUCCACGCUGUAAACGAUGAUUACUAGGUGUGGGGGGUCUGACCCCUUCCGUGCCGGAGUUAACACAAUAAGUAAUCCACCUGGGGAGUACGGCCGCAAGGUUGAAACUCAAAGGAAUUGACGGGGGCCCGCACAAGCAGUGGAGUAUGUGGUUUAAUUCGAAGCAACGCGAAGAACCUUACCAGGUCUUGACAUCCAACUAACGAAGUAGAGAUACAUUAGGUGCCCUUCGGGGAAAGUUGAGACAGGUGGUGCAUGGUUGUCGUCAGCUCGUGUCGUGAGAUGUUGGGUUAAGUCCCGCAACGAGCGCAACCCUUGCUAUUAGUUGCUACGCAAGAGCACUCUAAUAGGACUGCCGUUGACAAAACGGAGGAAGGUGGGGACGACGUCAAAUCAUCAUGCCCCUUAUGACCUGGGCUACACACGUACUACAAUGGAUGUUAACAGAGGGAAGCAAGACAGCGAUGUGGAGCAAACCCCUAAAAACAUUCUCAGUUCAGAUUGCAGGCUGCAACCCGCCUGCAUGAAGAUGGAAUUGCUAGUAAUCGCGGAUCAGCAUACCGCGGUGAAUACGUUCCCG